rnacentral:rRNA from 1 species
CCUACGGGGGGCAGCAGUAGGGAAUAUUGCUCAAUGGGGGAAACCCUGAAGCAGCAACGCCGCGUGGAGGAUGAAGGUUUUCGGAUUGUAAACUCCUUUUGUUAGAGAAGAUAAUGACGGUAUCUAACGAAUAAGCACCGGCUAACUCCGUGCCAGCAGCCGCGGUAAUACGGAGGGUGCAAGCGUUACUCGGAAUCACUGGGCGUAAAGAGCGCGUAGGCGGGAUAGCAAGUCAGAUGUGAAAUCCUAUGGCUUAACCAUAGAACUGCAUUUGAAACUGUUAUUCUAGAGUAUGGGAGAGGUAGGUGGAAUUCUUGGUGUAGGGGUAAAAUGCGUAGAGAUCAAGAGGAAUACUCAUGGCGAAGGCGACCUGCUAGAACAUAACUGACGCUGAUGCGCGAAAGCGUGGGGAGCAAACAGGAUUAGAUACCCCGGUAGUC